GCGAUGGGGUACGAGACCCCGCGCGGUGCGGAGCAUCCUUCUCUCUGCGGACGAUUACCAUCCCUGUGACGAAUACUCCGAUCCCCGAACCGCAUCCCACACGCGUCAGCAAAAGAAAGGAUUCCCCCUCCGCUGGCGGAUCUCUGCUGCACCGCACCAACCUCGGAUGGGCUGGAAGGCCGGCCAGCGGGCGGGCGAGGCGGCGGCGUCAGCUGGGCCGCAGCGGACGCGGUGUCCAUGGUAACAGGCGGCUGAUCGGAGGCGCACGGCGGAGCCAUGCUGGCAGGCUCCAUUCAGAUCUCUGGGGAGACCCUCUCCUCGGCCGAGGUCAAGGAUAUCUGUGAGUCCCUGAGGGCCCACUCGGUGCGGCUGCUGUCCCUGCGCGGCUGUCACCUGUCGGACCGCGACUUCGGCCGCAUCAGCCGCCAUGUAGCCGAGUGCCAGUCGCUGGCGCAGCUCAACCUCAACCUUGGUGUGGUCAGCACCUUGGCCCGGGUGCAGCAGCUGGCUGAAGCCCUCGUCGCCAACAGAUCCAUCCACUCUCUGUUUCUUCAUGGCAGUCCUCUCACUGAUUCUGGAUUGGCUGUCCUAAACCCUGCCCUUUCCCUGCAUCCCUCCCUCAUAUCACUGGACCUCGGAGACUGUGUCUUGGGUGAUGAAGCAAUAAAUCUCAUCUGUGGACUGUUACCACCUGAUGGAGCAAAGUCAGGACUGAAGGAACUGACGCUCAGUGCUAACCCUGCUAUCACAGUGAAAGGAUGGGCACGUCUGAUGAUUGCAGUUGCACACAGUUCUCAACUUCGUGUUCUUAAUUUAGAUUAUAAUCCAUUAGGUGAUCACAUUGCUGGGAUGUUGGCAGUUGCCGUGGCUUCUAGUCGGACUCUGGAGGUAGUAGACCUCGAGGGAACAGGCCUCACAAACCAGUCAGCUCAGAUAUUUCUGGAUAUGGUUCAGAAUUAUCCCACCUCCAUGCGGAGCCUCAUCCUUGCAGAAAAUAACAUCAGCCUGGAACUGCAGCAGCAAAUCUCAGAUCUUUUGUCUGAAGGAGAAGAAGAGGAAGACAAUGAUAAUGAAGAUCAAGAAGAUUCAGAAAGAGAGAAAGAUAUCUGGAUUAAUCAAAGCAUUCAACCCAAAUGGUCUCACUUGUUAUAUGAAAACAGAAAAUGCUGGGAAUACUCAACAGGAACUUACCCGGCCUUACCUCACUUGGAGUGAAGCUCGUCCUCCGCCUCUUCUCGUCGAAGCCUCCCGAGUCAAAGCCUCAAAUCUCCACUCCUUCACUGGCCCACUCACUCACUGGCCACUUUACACAGGCCGCUCCGCUUGAGAUCAAGCGUCACCGACUAUCCUCAUGUCAACGGGCCUCGAAGAUUCUCUGCUGGCAGAAACAGAAAUGUAAUAGCUGUCGAUAGCAGGGUGUGUUGUGCCACUGCUGAACUCAACCACACAGCACUAUCAUUAAUGUCUCCUUGUCUUGCAAUGCUGCCAUUGAACUUUUUCACCGGACAGAACCAGGACCCUGUCCAUAUUUUGUCACUUGGAUCACAGAGCUGUAGUCCUUAGGUGAUAAUGACUGAGAAAGCACCUCCAAUCAGUUCACAUCAGCUACCUGUCUGCAUUAUUUACUUUUAAUAAUUUAUUGAAAUUCUAUUAGUCCGAUCAGUCACUGCACUGCAAAGCAAGAGAAAUGAAUUAUGUGAAGCACUGGAAUGUUUUGAUGUGAUAAUGCACUGUGUAAAUGGAAUAGUUAUCUAUUAUUGGAAUAGUUUACAUAGAUCCUGUAUUCAGCUUUGCUAUCUCCUCUGAAGCUGCUGACUGUCCUAUCUGUAAAAUGAGGAUCUUACAGGGACUCACUGAAGAAUUACUUUCUGCAACCUUUCCCAAGUGAAAUUAUGAACCAAUUAUGGAACCACAAUUCUCUUCAUUGAUCUAGAAUGAGCCAGAGGUGAUAAUAUUAAACUGCAGUAGUUAAUGGAAUAGUCAUUUUUUCCCACAUAACCUCUGCUGCCAUCUCCAAAUGGUCUGAAAAGUAAAUUGGGUUCUCACAGAAUAAACACAAGUUAUUUAACAUCACAUUGUAAUGCAGACCCACAUCUGACCCCAUCUCUGAAACCUGGAGUCUACCUUUGUACUCGGCUCAUAAAUGGUGACAAGAGCAGGCCAGAGACUAUGGUGAGUGACUGACUUAAUAGUUCACAAAGCAUUACAAGCCACAACUCCAAAGUAUGAUGGAAUACUUUCCACCUUCCCUGAUGAGUACAGUUUCAGCAACUCACAGGAAGUGCCAACUCCAUUCAGGACAAAGCAGUUUUCUUGAUUGGCACUCCAUCAACUACCCUCCAUCACUGAAACUCACCCACAAGAUGGAUCAUAGCAACUCACCAAAGUUCUCCAAUGAGCUAGACUGUCAAGAAGGGAAAGAACAGGCACUUGGAGCACCACCAUCUCGUGACUUGUACAUUGGUCAGAGAAAUGAAGAUAGCUCCAAGUAGAUGGGAUGUUGCUUCCAAUUCAACUUUAUUGAGAGGGUUAAAUAACAAAGUUCUUUAAAGAGAAGUAAAGAUGCGGUCCUACACAAAGUCUGCUGAAAACCAAGAAGCAAAGAGGAAUAUGAUAAAUUAACUUUUAAUGAGACAGUGAAUUAUAAUAGAAAUAUCGAAGAAUUUAUUUUUUGAUAAAUUUUAUUCCGUUUUUAAGCAACAAAUAAUUUGCACCUAGAAAAUGCUGAGAUGUCCAACAGCAGAUGAGCUCUCUGUACCACCAGAGCUCUGACCAGAAGCUGCCACAGGUUCUGUUUGGGGUGGAGCUCAGCUGGCCGUCAGGAGAAAUAUCUAGAUACCUAGCUUGCAUCUGUGUUAUCCCUCACAGCCGCAUGUGCACACACAGAAUGUAAUGUAGUGCACACACAGUACAAACUUUAAGUCAUUGUGUGAUGCAGUUGACUUGAAUAUUGAGCCGAAAGCAGGGAGAAUUAUCCCUGCACAUUCUUCCAAUGUGGAGGCUGCCAGGUGAGGUUAGUUGAACUGUGGAAGAAACUAGAUUUAAGAAAAUAACUCCAAGCAACAAAACCCAAAUAAAUUACAUAUCUGACAUUAGAAUUGCAGAGAUAGCUAUGAAAACUGAUGCUGAUAUGUGCACAUCAUGAAAUAAAAUUUCAUAAUCCCAACUAAAUCAGAUCCGUUUCUCUUUCCACAGCUGCUGACUGUUUCCUGCAUUUUCAGUUUCAAUUAUUAUGUCACAAUGCUUGCUUGCUUAUUCAAAAAUAAACACUGCAGAAUUA